rnacentral:rRNA from 1 species
UGCACCUGGUGGCGAGUGGCGAACGGGUGAGUAAUACAUCGGAACAUGUCCUGUAGUGGGGGAUAGCCCGGCGAAAGCCGGAUUAAUACCGCAUACGAUCUACGGAUGAAAGCGGGGGAUCUUCGGGCCUCGCGCUAUAGGGUUGGCCGAUGGCUGAUUAGCUAGUUGGUGGGGUAAAGGCCUACCAAGGCGACGAUCAGUAGCUGGUCUGAGAGGACGACCAGCCACACUGGGACUGAGACACGGCCCAGACUCCUACGGGAGGCAGCAGUGGGGAAUUUUGGACAAUGGGCGAAAGCCUGAUCCAGCAAUGCCGCGUGUGUGAAGAAGGCCUUCGGGUUGUAAAGCACUUUUGUCCGGAAAGAAAUCCUUGGCUCUAAUACAGCCGGGGGAUGACGGUACCGGAAGAAUAAGCACCGGCUAACUACGUGCCAGCAGCCGCGGUAAUACGUAGGGUGCGAGCGUUAAUCGGAAUUACUGGGCGUAAAGCGUGCGCAGGCGGUUUGCUAAGACCGAUGUGAAAUCCCCGGGCUCAACCUGGGAACUGCAUUGGUGACUGGCAGGCUAGAGUAUGGCAGAGGGGGGUAGAAUUCCACGUGUAGCAG